GCGAAGUUGGUUCUGUCAAUUAAAUGUACAUUUCAAAAGUCCAAAAAUUGGAAGUGAGAUGAGAUGGAGCUUGUAGUGCUGCUCUUGACUCCUUUUGUUGACCAGUAGUUUGAAGGGACAGGGUAGCAGAAUUUCAGUAACAGAAUUCUCAUGUCUAAUCUCCAAUUUUGUGGGUGGGAAGAAGAGGUCCUGGAGGACACAGCAACUUGCUGAUCUAUGUUUUUUGGUUGGUGUUAAAGAAGAUGGGUUACAAAUGGAGAGAAUGAACCUCUGAGUAUACUGAAGAUAAUAGGAACCAUGUUUCUCUUGUUGAAGAGAGGAGACUAUGGAGAGAAGGAAGACUAGAGCAAACCUUAUAGCAGUGGAUUGCAAUUGAAGAGUUGAUUUGGCAAAAUCCGUCAAGACUGGAGGCUAAAUAGCUAUGAUGAAAACUUCUUUCACUCAAGCAACUGUAGAGUCUAGGCUUCAAUUUACCUCCCUGACGUAGUGCAAAGGGACAACGGAAACAAUGAGAAGUUGGCAAGACUUAG